rnacentral:rRNA from 1 species
UUGGAGGGCAAGUCUGGUGCCAGCAGCCGCGGUAAUUCCAGCUCCAAUAGCGUAUAUUAAAGUUGUUGCAGUUAAAAAGCUCGUAGUUGAAUUUCGGGAUCAAUUUGUUGGUCGUGCCUCGGUACGUACUGGCAUUAUUGGUUUCUACCUUCUGAAGAACCUUGAUGUCAUUAAUUUGGUGUCUUGGGGAAUCAGGACUGUUACUUUGAAAAAAUUAGAGUGUUUAAAGCAGGCAUACGCUUGAAUACAUUAGCAUGGAAUAAUGAAAUAGGACGUUUGAUUCUAUUUUGUUGGUUUCUAGGAUCGACGUAAUGAUUAAUAGGGAUAGUUGGGGGCAUUAGUAUUCAAUUGUCAGAGGUGAAAUUCUUGGAUUUAUUGAAGACUAACUACUGCGAAAGCAUUUGCCAAGGAUGUUUUCAUUAAUCAGGAACGAAAGUUAGGGGAUCGAAGACGAUCAGAUACCGUCGUAGUCUUAACCAUAAACUAUGCCGACUAGGGAUCGGAUGAUGUUAUUUUUAAUGACUCAUUCGGCGCCUUACGGGAAAC